rnacentral:rRNA from 1 species
AGUGAACGCUGGCGGUAGGCCUAACACAUGCAAGUCGAACGGCAGCACAGUAAGAGCUUGCUCUUACGGGUGGCGAGUGGCGGACGGGUGAGGAAUACAUCGGAAUCUACUUUUUCGUGGGGGAUAACGUAGGGAAACUUACGCUAAUACCGCAUACGAUCUACGGGUGAAAGCAGGGGAUCUUCGGACCUUGCGCGAUUGAAUGAGCCGAUGUCGGAUUAGCUAGUUGGCGGGGUAAAGGCCCACCAAGGCGACGAUCCGUAGCUGGUCUGAGAGGAUGAUCAGCCACACUGGAACUGAGACACGGUCCAGACUCCUACGGGAGGCAGCAGUGGGGAAUAUUGGACAAUGGGCGCAAGCCUGAUCCAGCCAUACCGCGUGAGUGAAGAAGGCCUUCGGGUUGUAAAGCCCUUUUGUUGGGAAAGAAAAGCAGCAGGUUAAUACCCCGCUGUUCUGACGGUACCCAAAGAAUAAGCACCGGCUAACUUCGUG